rnacentral:rRNA from 1 species
UACGUAGGGGGCAAGCGUUGUCCGGAUUCAUUGGGCGUAAAGAGCGUGUAGGCGGCCAGGUAGGUCGGUUGUGAAAACUGGAGGCUCAACCUUCAGAGGUCGACCGAAACCAUCUGGCUAGAGUCCGGGAGAGGAGAGUGGAAUUCCUGGUGUAGCGGUGAAAUGCGCAGAUAUCAGGAAGAACAUCCGUGGCGAAAGCGGCUCUCUGGAACGGUACUGACGCUGAGACGCGAAAGCGUGGGGAGCAAACAGG